rnacentral:rRNA from 1 species
UCUGCUGGGCCAAUACUGACGCUGAUGGACGAAAGCUAGGGGAGCGAAAGGGAUUAGAUACCCCUGUAGUCCUAGCUGUAAACGAUGGAUACUAGGUGUUGUGCGUAUCGACCCGUGCAGUACCGCAGCAAACGCGUUAAGUAUCCCGCCUGGGGAGUACGCACGCAAGUGUGAAACUCAAAGGAAUUGACGGGGGCCCGCACAAGCGGUGGAGUAUGUGGUUUAAUUCGAUGCAACGCGAAGAACCUUACCAGGACUUGACAUCCCCCGAAUUUCUGAGAAAUCAGAAAGUGCCUUCGGGAACGGGGAGACAGGUGGUGCAUGGCUGUCGUCAGCUCGUGUCGUGAGAUGUUGGGUUAAGUCCCGCAACGAGCGCAACCCACGUUUUCAGUUGCCAUCAUUAAGUUGGGCACUCUGGAGAGACUGCCGGGGACAACUCGGAGGAAGGUGUGGACGACGUCAAGUCAUCAUGCCCCUUACGUUCUGGGCUACACACGUACUACAAUGCAACGGACAAAGGGCAGCCAACUAGCGAUAGUGAGCUAAUCCCAUAAACCGUUGCUCAGUUCAGAUUGCAGGCUGCAACUCGCCUGCAUGAAGGAGGAAUCGCUAGUAAUCGCAGGUCAGCAUACUGCGGUGAAUACGUUCCCGGGCCUUGUACACACCGCCCGUCACACCAUGGAAGUUGGCCAUGCCCGAAGUCGUUACCCUAACCGUUCGCGGAGGGGGGCGCCGAAGGCAGGGCUGAUGACUGGGGUGAAGUCGUAACAAGGUAGCCA